rnacentral:tRNA from 1 species
AUUGGAAUAGUUUAUUAAAAAUAUUAAAUUGUGAAUUUAAAGAAAAAUUUCAAUA